GCCUUAGUGGUGUAGUAGUAACAUCUGUAGCUGCUAGCUAUAGACCCUAGGUUUGAAUCCUAGCUAAAGCG